rnacentral:rRNA from 1 species
UACGUAGGGUGCGAGCGUUAAUCGGAAUUACUGGGCGUAAAGCGUGCGCAGGCGGUUUUGCAAGACAGAUGUGAAAUCCCCGGGCUUAACCUGGGAACUGCAUUUGUGACUGCACAGCUGGAGUGCGGCAGAGGGGGAUGGAAUUCCGCGUGUAGCAGUGAAAUGCGUAGAUAUGCGGAGGAACACCGAUGGCGAAGGCAAUCCCCUGGGCCUGCACUGACGCUCAUGCACGAAAGCGUGGGGAGCAAACGGG